rnacentral:rRNA from 1 species
AACGAACGCUGGCGGCAGGCCUAACACAUGCAAGUCGAGCGAAGCCUUCGGGCUUAGCGGCGGACGGGUGAGUAACGCGUGGGAACGUGCCCUUUGGUACGGAAUAGCCCCGGGAAACUGGGAGUAAUACCGUAUGUGCCCUUCGGGGGAAAGAUUUAUCGCCAAAGGAUCGGCCCGCGUUGGAUUAGGUAGUUGGUGGGGUAAUGGCCUACCAAGCCGACGAUCCAUAGCUGGUUUGAGAGGAUGAUCAGCCACACUGGGACUGAGACACGGCCCAGACUCCUACGGGAGGCAGCAGUGGGGAAUCUUAGACAAUGGGGGAAACCCUGAUCUAGCCAUGCCGCGUGAUCGAUGAAGGCCUUAGGGUUGUAAAGAUCUUUCAGUGGGGAAGAUAAUGACUGUACCCACAGAAGAAGCCCCGGCUAACUCCGUGCCAGCCGCCGCCGUAACAC